rfam:Hordeum vulgare subsp. vulgare, WGS project CAJW01000000 data, contig: morex_contig_55638
UUAAUACUCCCUCCGUCUUAAUUCUUUUGUCUUAGAUUUGUUUAGAUAUAAAUGUAUCUAGUCAUGUUUUAGUAUUUUGAUACAUCUAUUUCUAGACAAACCUAAGACAAGAAUGUUGGGACGGAGGAAGUACAUC